ensembl:lncRNA novel transcript
GCAGCAAGGAGUGGCCACAUGACCAGGCAGUGGCCAAUGCACAUGAGGCCAGUGCACAGCAACUGCCUUUAGAGGAAGGAAGAUUUGUGUCCUCAUAUUCUCUUCUCCCCUCCCUGCUCACUGGCAGUAGAUAGGAUGGACACUGUGGGGGAAGCUACACCCUAAGAAAGUCAGAGCAGCAAGAUGGAAGUAGCCUAAGACCCUGAAAAAUGCACAAAGAAGAAUCACCCGACUGGCUUGGACUUUCAUGUGAAAGGAAUGAACCUCUGUCUUAGUAAAGCCACUGUCUUUACUAAGUUCAGGGUCCUUGUCACGUUCACUGAGGCUGUAACAUAAUUGUUAGAAAGAACAGGAGUGGGAGGGGAGAUGGAGUCGGAGAGUCAGGCAGAGGUUAGAUCACAUCGGGCCUGUAGGCCAAGGCGGAGGAAGAAACAGGCGACACAGGACUCAAGGACAACACCUGCUCCCAGGCAAAAGGAGUUUGUUGUGGGUGCCCCUCCCUGUCUGUGUGUCCAGUGUGUGGAUAUUCUUUAUACUUUGCCCAUACUGUACAAAUGCUUUUUUUCUAUUCAAUAUUUAGAAGACAUUGCAUUAAAUAGCAAGAUGGCAGAUGAACAUCAGGAAAGAACAUUAGGAACAUCCACAGUGUUCCAUCCAGGAACCUUCACCAUGGAAACCCUUGUGCUCAUGGGCCUGGUCUCAAGACACAUUCAGCUGUUGGGGAUCAGAGGCCGCACUCAUCGUAGCAGAGAGGCAGGACCAACUGGGAGAGGGUCAUUCUGUGACACCUACUGCAUCACCGGGCUGUGUGAAGUGACUCAGCUGCCAGAACUCACACAAUAUCAUUCUACACCAAAACCUCACGGGAAAAAUCCUCCCCGACCCUCAGACUUAAACAGCAGCACUGGCUCCUCCCCAGAUCUCCAGCUCCCUGACCCUCAAACUCCAACUGCAGCACCAGCUCCACCUGGGUCUCCAGCUCCAUGAUCCUCAAACUACAACAGCAGCACCAGCUCCCCCGUGGAUCUCCAGCUCAAUGACUCUCAGACUUGGGAGGUGGCACUGGCUCCCAACCAAGGCUCCAGCUCCACAAACCUCAAACUAGAACAGCAGCACCAGCUACUCCCUGGGUCUCCAGCUCCCUCAAACUUCAACUAUAGCACUGGCUCUUCCCUGGGGCCACCAGCUCCACAACCCUCAACUUACACGGUGGUAGCACCAGCUCCUCCCCAGGUCUCCAGCUCCACGACCAUCAAACUUGAACUGCAACACCAGCUCCUCUUCAGCCUCCAGCUCCACAAUCCUCCAACAACAACAGCAACACUGGCUCCUCCCUGAAUCUCCAGCUCAACAACUCACAGACUUGAGAGGCAGCACCGGCACCUCCCCAAGGCUCCAGCUCCAUGACCCUCAGAUUUGAACAGUGGUAGCACCAGCUCCUGUCCAGGUCUCCAGCUUCACUAUCCUUAAACUAGAACAGCAGCACCGCCGCCUCCCUGGGUUUCCAGCUCCAUGACUCUAAGACAUGAAUGAAAGAACCGGGUCACCCCAGCACUCCAACUCCAAGACCCACAGAUUUGAACGGCAGCACUGGCUCUUCCCGGGAUCUCCAGCUCCACGGCCCUCAAACUAGAUCAGCAGCACCGGCUCCUCUCUGGUUCUCCAGCUCCACAAUCCUCACACAUGAACAAUAGUACCAGCUCCUCCUUGGGUCUCCAGCUUCACUACCCUCAGACUAGAACAGCAACACUGGUUCCUCCGUGGACCUCCAGCUCUACAAUCCUCAGAAAUGAACAGCAGCAGCACCGCCUCCUACCUUUGUCUCCACUUCCACAACCCUCAAACUACAACAGCAGUACCGGCCUCUCCCCAGGUCUCCACAUACAUGACCCUCAAAAUAGAAUGGCAUCAUAGGCUCCCUCCUGGAUCUCCAGCUCCCAAACCCUCAAACUUCAAUUGACACACCAGAUCCUCCCCACAGCUAAAUAGCAGCACGGGCUCUUCCCCAAAGCUCCAGAUCCACGAACCUCUGACUUAAGUGGCGGUAGCACCGGCUCCUCCCUAGGUCUCCAGUUCCACGACCCUCAAACUAUACACCAGCACCAGCUCCUCCCCAGGUCUCAGGCUCCAUGACCCUCAGACUUAAAAAGCCAUAGUAUGGACUUCUCCCUGGGGCUCCAGCUCUACAACCCUCAGACAUGAACAGCAGCAGCACCGGCUCCUCGCCCUGUCUCCACUUCCACGACCCUCAAACUACAACAACAGUACCAGCCUCUCCCCAGGUCUCCAGAUCCACGACCCUCAAAAUAGAAUGGCAUCACCGGCUCCUCCCUGGGUCUCCAGCUCCCAAACCCUCAAACUUCAAUUGACACACCAGAUCCUCCCCACAGUUAAACAGCAGCACGGGCUGUUCCCCAAAGCUCCAGAUCCAUGACCCUCUGACUUAAAUGGCGGUAGCACCGGCUCCUUCCUAGGUCUGCAGUUCCAUGACCCUCAAACUACACAGCAGCACCGGCUCCUCCCCAGGUCUACAGCUCCACCACCCUCACACUAGACACCAAGACUACCUCCUCCCCACUCUCCAGCUACAUGACCCUCAGACUUGAACAGCAGCGGCUCCUCCCUGUACCUAAAGCCCC